CUUCCAACUGCAGGUCAAGCUGUGCUUAAAGCUACACAUGACGUGAAUGCCAAGAGGCCACAAACCGUCUUCACACUGAGUGUUGAGGUCAGCUCAGGUGCCGAAGGACAGCUAAAACAGGGAUCAAUUGAUUUGACUUGACUGAAGGAAGGUAGUCGUGAACUCUGGCCAUAAAUAAAUGAGUAUUUUUAGAAAGAGAAGCACAAGCAUGCCCUCCAAAGUCUAAGGUUAUCGCCUUCCUGUGAAAACCUGGAUGUGAGUCGCUGCCUAAGGUGGAUAGCUUUGAGUGGAGCGAGCUCUUGUUUGUGCGGUGAAGGCAAAACAGACACAGACUGACAGCAUAUAGCAUCUGUACUGACUGUCAUUGGUGUGAAAAGAGCUGAGCCUAACGGCAACAACUGUCAGUGUACGCUCCAAGAACUCUAGCAAAGUUUCCAAACACAAGAGAGGAUGUCCGUCUGUUGCUUCGGAAUCACUGCAUUGUCCUGGACGGCGUGGUCUGGGACGGGAAGAUGGGUGUCAUGAAGAAAACUAGAGUCUGCCUCCGUCUGCCAAGCAGCAUCAGUGAGUGUGCAGCGUGGCGCCGAAGCAUAGAGGUAUAGUACCAGUGUCCACGCCAGUGCAGCCAAACAUGAAGAGAAAGAGGUGUGAUGCUCCAUAAAAAUGUACAACACUUUCUAAAGUGGUAGGCACAUGCUGUUGGACCAGUGGUGUGAAACGUGUUUUAGGGCUAUGCCUUAUACAAGUGCAUCAAUCCAUUUUCCCCACCGAAAAUCUGCAAGUGUUAAAGCAGCUGUGGUAUAACUCGGCACGUUCUCCAUGAUUCACUGAAUCAUUCAGCCCAACAGGAGCCAUUUCUUUGCCUGGUUGAAUGGCAAAAGGGUGUAGAGGAGAUGGAAAAAAAAAAAAAAAAA